rnacentral:rRNA from 1 species
UGGCGGACGGGUGAGUAAUGUCUGGGAAACUGCCCGAUGGAGGGGGAUAACUACUGGAAACGGUAGCUAAUACCGCAUAACGUCGCAAGACCAAAGAGGGGGACCUUCGGGCCUCUUGUCAUCGGAUGUGCCCAGACGGGAUUAGCUAGUAGGUGGGGUAACGGCUCACCUAGGCGACGAUCCCUAGCUGGUCUGAGAGGAUGACCAGCCACACUGGAACUGAGACACGGUCCAG